rnacentral:lncRNA from 1 species
CAGUCGUGGUCCUUGGAGUGGGACUGGGGGCUGAGCCUGCAGCUCAAGGGCAUGGAGGAGCGAGCAUGCCGAGGUUUGGAGUCCUCUAGCUCCACAAAAUAGAAAUCAGCAGUUCAGCUCGCAGGUCAGCAACAGCAGCCCGAUCCAGUCACCAACACUUCACGGAUACACCAGCAGUUCACCAACACUUCAUGGAUACCCGAGCAGGUCAGUUCAAUAGUGCCUGGAUAGGGGCAGCAGUGGCACGACCUAGCAGGAACAGUCAAUCAGGCCUUGGCCCAAACAGCACGAGUCAACAGGGAGGAUUUGGAUCACCAGGAACUCCAGGAAAAGUUCUCAGCUGUGCCUCUCUCAGCGAAGAUGCAAGACCAACAAGCAUUGCACAGCUUGCUCUAUAAGCAAGCCUAGCCUGAUCUCUGUCACCAUCCGUGGAGUCCUUUUUACACUCCCUCCAAACAUAAAGUGUCCUCCUCGGGUCUUGCCUCAGCAUGUGAGUCUGUCUUGGCUGACAUCCCUCUGCCAAUCGGCCCAAAUCUGCAGAAGCAGCAAGAAGCCACAGCACACCACCAGAAGUGUUUUGGUGCGUUUCUCCCUAUGGAGUCCUGACAAAUGCAGCUCAACUACGCAGUGUAAGUCAGACCUAUACAUGCAUGUUGUUAGAGAAGAGCCCUUCAUCACAUGUCCUUUCAUUUGCUCGCUUUAGCAGACUGUCCUUUUACUUAUGUCUGCUUCAGCGAAAUGUUCCUUCAGGUGUUUGCCCCAGCAAAACCCCAUUGAACACAACUAAUUUUCCAAAAAACCCUUAAGUUUCC